CCACUGUAACACAGAGCACAAAAACUGUCUGCUUUAGGCAACAACACCGGAUCUACUUAGUGUCCUCACAGCCAAGCAGGAGGAGAGUUCAUGGAGAGGAAUUCAGGGCGGAAAACAAAGUGAACCAUUGGAAACUGCUUUCAGACUGCAGAUUCCAACCAGAUUUGUGUCAUGACUUCAGCCAGCGCAUUUUUCACCCACGUGGGACAAUGUCAGGAGCCUCAGUGACAUUGAGGCAGGGUCGGGAAUGUUCUUGGUGAUAAGCAGACACAUGAGAAUGCUCUGAGGGGAGGGGUGCAAGGCAGUGCAGAUUUACAACACUGAGACCCUUCAGAGCAGCACUAAUGCCCAGUGGAGUUCUCCAGCCUAAAUGUCUCGUUGUCAGUGGAAGAAACAAAGGUAAUGUAAUCUGAAUGCUGGAUGCAACAGCAUAGGCUGCUGUCUGGGCUGAUUCUCCCUGCUCCAAAUGGGAAUGAUGGCUCCAAACAGACUCACCAGCACAGACUGAAGAGCAGACAUCUGAUUUGGGAGGAAAUGGCCAAUAUCUCAGCUUUUUUCCCCACAAUUUGUUUCUUCCUGGAAAAAAAAAAAAAGCCACAAAACA